CCUCAUUUUUAUCAUCCCCCUAACCAAGACCACGGGGUUAUAAUGUCUUCUUAUCCACUAGUGAAGGGAUUAGUGGAAAUAUCCGUAUCG
rnacentral:ncRNA from 1 species